rnacentral:rRNA from 1 species
GACGAACGCUGGCGGCGUGCCUAAUACAUGCAAGUUGAGCGCUGAAGGUUGGUACUUGUACCAACUGGAUGAGCAGCGAACGGGUGAGUAACGCGUGGGGAAUCUGCCUUUGAGCGGGGGACAACAUUUGGAAACGAAUGCUAAUACCGCAUAAAAACUUUAAACACAAGUUUUAAGUUUGAAAGAUGCAAUUGCAUCACUCAAAGAUGAUCCCGCGUUGUAUUAGCUAGUUGGUGAGGUAAAGGCUCACCAAGGCGAUGAUACAUAGCCGACCUGAGAGGGUGAUCGGCCACAUUGGGACUGAGACACGGCCCAAACUCCUACGGGAGGCAGCAGUAGGGAAUCUUCGGCAAUGGACGAAAGUCUGACCGAGCAACGCCGCGAGAGUGAAGAAGGUUUUCGGAUCGUAAAACUCUGUUGGUAGAGAAGAACGUUGGUGAGAGUGGAAAGCUCAUCAAGUGACGGUAACUACCCAGAAAGGGACGGCUAACUACGUG